UAGGGAAUCUUCGGCAAUGGACGGAAGUCUGACCGAGCAACGCCGCGUGAGUGAAGAAGGUUUUCGGAUCGUAAAGCUCUGUUGUAAGAGAAGAAUGAGUGUGAGAGUGGAAAGUUCACACUGUGACGGUAUCUUACCAGAAAGGGACGGCUAACUACGUGCCAGCAGCCGCGGUAAUACGUAGGUCCCAAGUGUUGUCCGGAUUUAUUGGGCGUAAAGCGAGCGCAGGCGGUUAGAUAAGUCUGAAGUUAAAGGCUGUGGCCUAACCAUAGUACGCUUUGGAAACUGUUUAACUUGAGUGCAAGAGGGGAGAGUGGAAUUCCAUGUGUAGCGGUGAAAUGCGUAGAUAUAUGGAGGAACACCGGUGGCGAAAGCGGCUCUCUGGCUUGUAACUGACGCUGAGGCUCGAAAGCGUGGGGAGCAAACAGGAUUAGAUACCCUGGUAGUCCACGCCGUAAACGAUGAGUGCUAGGUGUUAGACCCUUUCCGGGGUUUAGUGCCGCAGCUAACGCAUUAAGCACUCCGCCUGGGGAGUACGACCGCAAGGUUG
rnacentral:rRNA from 1 species